ACGAACGCUGGCGGCGUGCUUAACUCAUGCAAGUCGAACGGAAAGGCCCUGCUUUUGUGGGGUGCUCGAGUGGCGAACGGGUGAGUAACACGUGAGUAACCUGCCCUUGACUUUGGGAUAACUUCAGGAAACUGGGGCUAAUACCGGAUAUGAGCUCCUGCUGCAUGGUGGGGGUUGGAAAGUUUCGGCGGUUGGGGAUGGACUCGCGGCUUAUCAGCUUGUUGGUGGGGUAGUGGCUUACCAAGGCUUUGACGGGUAGCCGGCCUGAGAGGGUGACCGGCCACAUUGGGACUGAGAGACGGCCCAGACUCCUACGGGAGGCAGCAGUGGGGAAUAUUGCACAAUGGGCGGAAGCCUGAUGCAGCAACGCCGCGUGCGGGAUGACGGCCUUCGGGUUGUAAACCGCUUUCGCCUGUGACGAAGCGUGAGUGACGGUAAUGGGUAAAGAAGCACCGGCUAACUACGUG
rnacentral:rRNA from 1 species